GGCCGCCUGGCGAAAUGGCAUCGCGUCUGACUACGAUGUUGCAGUCGUAGACUGAUGCAAUCAGGAGAUUGCAGGUUCGACCCCUGCGGUGGUCA